rnacentral:tRNA from 1 species
GGCCUCGUGGUGUAACGGCUAGCACUCUGGACUUUGAAUCCAGGGGCCCGAGUUCGAGUCCUGGCGAGGNNN